AAGUCGUAACAAGGUUUCCGAGGUGAACCCGGAAGGAUCAUUAACACGUAUCCAACGUUAACAACCCCCUUGAACUUUCAGCUUGCUCCUGUAGCCCGUGAAAACAGCAAUCCCUGGUAAAUCAUUGUUGACAGCUUUUGAGUCAGGGCGAUUGUGAUAUUUUAUAGCUACGGUUGAGCGAUUGCAUCGGCAUCCCCAAGUAAUCAGUGUCUGAAAGUGUCGAUUAUGUAAGGAUGGUGCAGUCACGAUCGCUGUAGAGGCCCACACGGCCGACCGGUCACCGGGCUCUGCCCCUUUACGACAACACCGCGCGUGAAAUUCGCACGGCACCAAAAACCGAACAACUGUUAACAAUGGAUCUUGGUUCU
rnacentral:misc_RNA from 1 species